ACUGCCAGCAUCUCUCCGCCAAUGCCUUUAUUUAAGAACCCAGUAUUUUCUUUGAAUCAGUAGUAGCUAUGGUUCCUUUGACUCCUGUUGGCUCUCUGUCACUAACACAUGCAUAUAAGGCAUCCUUCAGCUUGGUUCUGGUCAGGCACUUGUCGGUUCUGUCUUGGCAGGAGGGCCUAGGUUCCCGAGAAGACCAGCCGGGAGCUUCUCUGCUUAUUGGGAUUACAGUCCAGUGUUGCAGGGACAGAGAUCACUGCAGGAGGCCCACAGCCUGUGGCUAGCUGCAAACCCAUCUUAGAGUCCCCUCAAGUCUGCUAAGGGAGCCUAUAGACUGCCACCCAGGGAAGAAAUCAGGAAGUGUUUGGCUGUGAACUGUGAGAAGAAGUGACUCUUUGUGAAGAUGUGACCUAGUUGGGAAGGUAAUCGGAAAGCAGGGCUGGCAGGCUCGGUGGUUUGCAACACCGGCACUUGGGACACUGAGAAGGAAGACACCAAGCCCGAAGUCCUGUUAGGAUGUAAGCGUUUGUCUGCAUGUACAUUGCUAUCUCCGGUUGCAGGGAAUGUAUUGCCUUCUCUGGCCUCUAUAGGCAAGCAGGCACGGACAUAUUUGAGAGAUUUUGACACCUUUAGGAGGUAGAGCCUAAAUGGAGAAACUGGGUUGUUAGGAGAAGACCUUAAGUUGAAAGUCAGCCCCACUGCCUGUCCCCUUUCGCCUUCUCUUCCUACCAUGAUGUGAACAAGCAGCCUCCCCGCUGCUGCCACAGCCACAGCCACAAGCUGCUCCAAUCACCAUGCCUUCCCUUCAUAUAUGGACAGAACUCUCACACUGUGAACCAAAACAGACCCACCUCUCUUUGACUCCUUAUUUUCAGCUCAUUGAGAAACGAACAAUGAGAAAAGUGGCUAACAUAAUAGGUAAAAAUCUACUAGAGACCGAGUGCCCUUAAUCAGAAAACACAAACCCCCGGCACUCCAAAGUCUGACCCUUUGGAGCAUCGUUGGGACACUACAAGUAGAAAACUCCACACCUGGCCACACAUGAGAUGCCACAGAUGAAUCACAAACACAGAUUUGCUAAAAUGAUGUAUAAAAUCGUCUUUAGGCUAUGUGUAUGAGGAUCAACUCCCAGUCUCUGGUAACAUCUAUUCUGCUCCGAAUUUAGAUGCGAUGAACCAUUUCAGAUUCCAAGUACAAGUGAGAUCGAACCUGCUGCUAAAAUGUCUUCCCUAAGAGAGACACAAACAUCUCCUCCUCCCAAGAUACUAACAAACCAACACUCUGAGGACUGGUUCAUCUGAGUUUACUCUGAGGAAUCAAUGUGGUUAUUAGGCUUCCUUACAGAGCAAUGGGUGAGAGAUUAUGGGCUGGAGAGUGGGUGGCCUUAUUACAGCCACACUAGAAAGUCUGAGUCCAGCAGGAAUGGCGACUCCCCCAUGGAUGCACAGACAGAGCCCUUCCUGUCAUCCUUCCUCGCCUGUACACUUCUACCCCUCCCUGAAGCUGCAGGCUGCUUUCUGACAUUCUAUGGGUGGCAGGUUUCUUGAAGCCCUGGGCCUGUUCUGUGACCCUGGUUUUAGGAUGGAGGGUUUCCUUUAGGUUUUGUGUGUUCAAGCUUGUCUUUGAAUUCCAGACACCCCCCAUCCCCACCCUGGACUUGUUUCACUUUCCACGUGCUGGAAUUUACAAACACAAAGCACCACAGCUGUAAAGAUGGGGUUACUUAAAAGUAUUCGGAGAAAACAGUUACACUGUCUUUCCUACAGCAGCUAAUUGUGCCUUGGUUCACCUACGAGCUGUGGUUAGAAACUUGGGAGUUUAAAUGACAGGUGAUACUAUAUCAUUUCAUGUAUACAACACAAUGUUUUGAAGUAUUUGUAACAUAUAUAUGUAUAAUAAAAUGUGCUUUGCUUCACACUA